rnacentral:lncRNA from 1 species
CCGAUUGGCUCGAGCAAGAAUUUAGUGUCACCCUCGUCAUCUACUCGCGCGCAGUCUCCGCUGUCUAAGGGCCGCGCGCCCCGCCCUCACCUCGCGGCGUGAAAACAACAUGGUAGCGGAAACACGGAGCUUCUAGCGGAACAGACACAGUCUAGCGAUAGCAUGUUCUACACAGCGGGUCAAAUUCACCGCACACACUGGACGACAACCACAAUAAUCACCUGAGAGUAAUGACAGUUGAAAGAGGAGUGUCAGGAUUCUGGAGCCAACAGAAUGGAGCGUGAAAUGUCUCCAGUGAUGCAGUGAUUUCCUCUGAAUCUGAGCAGUCGGGCUGAAAGGAAGCACACUGGCUCUGCCUAGUUGCAGCAAGAUCUUUUGAGUACAUAUCAGCGGCAUCAGGACCAUUUUCUCUCUCUCUCUCUCGCUCUCUCUCGCUCUCUCUCGCUCUCUCUCGCUCUCUCUCGCUCUCUCGCUCUCUCUCGCUCUCUCUCGCUCUCUCUCUGUGUGAUUGGAUAGACAGCCUGACGGUUGGAACUCAACAUUCCAGUGAUGUCAACGCCAGACUUCAGGUUGGUUAACUGAUAUAUGAUACGAAGUUCUUGGCAAGAUUACAUGAUGAUACAUGAUGAUUACAUAUGAUACAUACGGAUGCCGGUUAUGUUAUUGUUGGCAGGGUAUCGUGUGUUUUUACUUAGUGAAUUCUCUAUAAUUAAAAUGUUGGUUUUGACACGUAUCUCUGUAACAUCAUGAGUUGUUUAUCCGUGUAGUUACCUGUCUU